rnacentral:misc_RNA from 1 species
AAAAGAGGAGGCCUCAGUGGAUACUCCUUGCUGAUUUUGAUCUUGGAUUCCAAUUUCAUUUUUCUUUCCUCAUUAUCCAUCUUUCUUGUCAAAACAAGACAAUAUUCCUGAACCUUGCAGUCCACCCAUGAUGUAUCACUGACCCCAGCAGAUCCAGGUGUAUUAUUACUGUCCUGCUCAAUCUGCACAAUGUCAUCCAUUUCAG